rnacentral:lncRNA from 1 species
CUUUUUACAGCAACAGAAUAGUGACUAAGAGUCAGACACUGCUUCAUCCUCAGGGCUGACUGCUACCAUGUACCACAGUGGCACUCAUAUUGUGGCAACAACCAACAGAGAAGAGUUUGCUGCUUCUGUUCUGAGGCCUGAGAUCUAUUAUGUGCUGCACAUCCAAACCCUGUGACAGAACUGUGUUACCCAUGUACCAGUGAGGCUGGGUACCCCAAACAAAAACUACAGGUCAACUAAGGAAUAACUAGAUUGGGAAGAGCCUCCAAAUUGAUUAUCCAAUACCAAGUGAUCAGCCUUUCCUGGGUCUGGCAUCUGUGUGGAAACCUUGCUGAUACUUGACUGAGAGUCAGAAGCACAGGCUCUGGCCACUAACUGCACCAGAUGUCCAUCAUCAGCAUUUUGCCAGUCCCACCAGCUAACCUCCGGUUGUCCGCAGCGGGCAAUGACAGCUCCAUUGCUCUGGUGCCUGUGGAUGACAGCAGGGAUGCGCUUCCAGGAUCUGAAGGCUGCCACACUUUCCAGUUCUUUGUCAGUGAUCCAAGCAGGAACUAUGAGCCCUUGUGGAUAACUACCACAAAAUUUGUAUUUCUCAUUGAUGUUGGAAAUCCUCCAGGCAUUGUUCAUAUAAAAACCCAUCUGCUCCACUUCAUUCUUAAACCUUGACGUCACAUGUUCCCCUGAUCUGCACAGGUCUCCAUGUUGCUCCUUUUCACUGGCAUAGACCUCCAUGCACCAAGCAUGGUAUGCAAAUGAGAAGAGAUCUUCUAUUUUACCAGGUGGUCGGAUUGCAUUGUUCAAUCUCUUAAGCCAAUCUUGACAUUGCUUAAAGUUUGGGAACUGACACCUGAUAACUUUGCAUUCUUUGCUUGUCAAAUGAAGCUGAAAUAUAUCACGGCAUUCAACGCUUUCAAUAAGCUGUAAUGAAACAUUAACAAGAGACUCCUUAAACUUGAUGUGAAGCCUGUAAUUAGAAAGGGCAAUGAUGGCCUCCUCAGCACGGCCCACAUACUCUGUGCUCUCUCCAUGAGUUCAAGGAAAGGAACCUGAAGAUUUUCAUCCUCCCGAAUCAGCUGCUUCCUGGGAAAGAUCUGAUUGGCCUGGAUGCACUCAAGGCUAUGCCGCACCUCUUCAUCCAUGACCCAGCCAGGUCAGGAGAGACCGUGUCCUUCUCUAGUCUCUGACAAAGCUAUUCUUUCUCUUCUGCUUGAGACCUUUUACACUUUAUUCACCAAGGCAGGAUCUGCUGCUGAACUGGGGGUUCACUGAUUUCAUUCUCUAGCUAGCCAGUUUGCACCAGUCUGUGACUCUGAAGCCAAAUGAGUAUCGUCCUGAGAACUUUUUCUUCUAUCAGGUUUCACAAGGAAAUCGGGCGGCAGGACAUGGCAAGGCCUGCCACUGCAAGGCCUCCUCCACCACCCCAGGAUGCUGCCAGCCAGGGUCGGCAAGGGGCCAGCACCUGGGCCGCUGGAGCGUCGCUGCCGCUGCCGCCACUGCUGCUGCUGCCGCUGCCGCCUUCUCACAACCACAACAACAUGGCAGCAGCCUAUAUUAUACAUUAUUAAACAAACAAAUCUACUAACAU